AUGGGAGUUGGACAUGCAAAUGGUUCUGCUAGAGUACGAAUAAGAGAGGCAAAAAUUCCGACCAAUGUUCAACGGGUGGGUUUACCCAAUACACAUGAAGUAAACGAGGAGGCACUAAGGCAGGCUAUGGCAGCAGAUGGUGUGGUUACAAACAUCAAAGUUUUUCCAGAAAGGCGGUAUGCUUUUGUGGAGUUUGCAACCAUUGAAGGAGCUUCUAAUGCUAAAAAUCUUCUAGAUGGGCGUCUUUUCAAUAAUAGAAGGAUUCAUGUUCUUUUCUCUUGCUGUGGGAUUGAUAACCUAACACCUCUUGUUGGGUUCCCUAGAUCAGACAUGUACAAUGAUAGUCCACAUGUCGCAUGUGAUUAUUUUGGUCCUGGUCGCAGUAGUCAUGACACAUCUAAAGGGUAUGAUCCUUGA
rnacentral:rRNA from 1 species